rnacentral:rRNA from 1 species
UACGAAGGGGCUAGACGUGCUUGGAUUGAUCUGGGCGUAAAGGGUGCGUAGGCGGCGCGGUAAGUCGGGUGUGAAAUCUCGGAGCUUAACUCCGAAACUGCAUUCGAUACUGCCGUGCUUGAGGACUGGAGAGGAGACUGGAAUUUACGGUGUAGCGGUGAAAUGCGUAGAUAUCGUAAGGAAGACCAGUGGCGAAGGCGGGUCUCUGGACAGUUCCUGACGCUGAGGCACGAAGGUCAGGGGAGCAAACGGG